UGGAGGGAAUGGCGCAUGCGGGCGUGUCUCCCGGACUCUAGAGCCUCGGAUCCCGGGGCAGCUCCGGGCUGGAGUGACCCUGCCAAAGGUGCUGGACCAAGACCAUGUUGGAGAGUAGGGUACUGGAAGCCAUGUUGUCCCAGACAGGGUUUGGACGCAAAGCAACCAGAAGCAGGAUAGGAAUGGCUUUCAAUGUGCAGAGUCUACCUCUUCCCAUGCUGGGACACUCAACACGGAUGUACGUGGGAGUAUUUGAUAUUCCACACUGAGAAUACCACAUGAAUAUCAAUAGUCAUCUUAAUGAUGUAACUUAGGAAACUCGAAGGUUUGCAAAUGUUUUUGUUGGUGUCCAGAAUUACUGUGCUUUUAUUUAUAUCUGAAGAGUAAUUAUUCACAGGAUUUUCAGGUAUGAAAUGAUGUAGAUAAUUCCUGUCUAUCCAUAGAUGAAAUUGUUGUUCGGUUGGGAAAAUGUGUCUUUCAUUGUUAUUUUAGCAAAAUGUUUACCAUUAAAAUGCCAAAUAUAUCUCCUCUGUGAAAUUUCAGAUUUUCAAAUGAGUACCCAAAGUAAAUACAUGUUUUAUAGGCAUCUAGGUUACAGAUUUGUCAAGCUGGAAGAGUUCUUCAAGGUCUAAGUCUCUUGGUCUAUAGAAAGAACAAAAGAGUGAGACUGGGGUUUGUCCUGCUCCUUAACAAGCCAUGGGACUUUGGGCCGUUCAUUUGCACCACUGGAGCACUUCAGGUUACUCAUCCAUAAAAGGAGAAUAAUAAAACCUGUCUUAUGGAGAUGUUCACUUUGUUCAUUCAACAAAUAUUUAUUGAUUGUUUAUAUGUGUCUGACCCUGUUGUAGACACUGAGGAUACAGCAGUGAACAAGACAAAAAAAAAUGUUCCUUCUUAUGAGCUUACAUUUAAGUGGGGGAGACAGAAAAGAAAUAAGAUAAAUGAGUGAAAAUAUAGUAUGUUAGAUAGUGAUUGUUAGAUGUGAGGCUUACAUUAAAAUAAUAUAUAUGGGGUGCCCAGCACAAUAUCUGGCAUGUAGUAAGUACUCAAUAGAGAGUAAUUUCCUUUGCUUCUUCAGUCUUCCGAACAGUUCCUGAAUUAGUCUACAGCAUGGUAGUAAUCAGCGAAAGGCCUGACCCAUUGCCUUCUACCUCUUUCGAGUUAAUACGGCCUAAACCUAUUUUGCUUAAGAAGACAAAAGAAUGCUUACAGAUGUGUUUUGUACUUCCUGUAUGGCAGAUUAAUCAAGGUGGUGCCUAAACACUGUUGAUAAAUGGCCUUUUCUGAAGCCAGUUGGCAGGGGUCCUUGCUUGGAGCUAGAUGGCAUUUGUCCACAAAGACAAAUGCAUUGUUUUUUUGCUGUUUAAGCAAAAUGGACUAGGAAACUGUACUGGCUGUUUCUCUUAAAGAAAAGAUGUGUGACCUUUGUUCUGUUCCAAACAUCGGAGAACUGGACAAAAUUUACAUUAUUUAUGGGAAACCAGGGCAUUAACUAAAAGCCUGGAAAAAGAGGGUUAAUACUUGUGGUUUCUAUAUAUUUUUGUCCAUUGUAGAAAAUUUGGGAAGUUCAGAAAUGUUUAAAGAAGCAGCCAAAAGUUCACCCCUAGGAUUCAGUUAUUUCACCAGACCCAUCUCUCUGCCUCAGCUUGCUCCUUCAAAAACAUCCAGUGAAUAGUCAUUUACUGAAUUCCUUCUUUAGGCCUGGGCCUGUACUAGGCACAGAGGGUAUAGCCCUUGCCCUUAGGCAGUACCGGCCUUGUGGGGGUAGGGAAAGGGCCAGAGGUGGAGAGACCACUGAGAAUGGGCUCCUACCUUAGACUGUCAGUCUCUCCCAGAGGACAGCUCUAAGGAACAAGCUUUUGUAAAGAAUUUGGAACAAAAGUUGUUAUCAUCACAGUUAGGGUGAUUGUGGGAAUGAGAAAGUGGAGUAUAAAGAGGCAAAACACACAAAGCAUUGGUAACUGGCCUGCUGGCCUUGCCAUCCCCAGCUCCUCUUAAGUAAAAGGGCCCUCAGGUCUGUCCUGCAGUAUCACCUUUCAGAAGAAACUAGACAUUAGGCUGUGGGCCAGUACCCCUGUAUCUUGCUUUAAUAAUCUAAUAAGUGAAAAUUCAGAGUUACAACCCAGAUUAGAUGAGGAAAUUGGCCCAGGGAGAUUGAGUGAAUUUUCUCGAAUCACACAUCUAGUUGGCUGCAGAGCCAGGAUAAUAAUGAAGGACCUUGAAUUUCUCUCAGUCCAGUGAGGUUUUUUCCAUUACUCCAUGGGUAAUAAUUUCCUUUACUAAACUGUACAUUCUUAAGAUAACUUUAAAAUAAUGGUCACCCUUGCAUUUGAUAAAUAUGAUUUACCAACAACUGAUUUACAUGCAGUUUGGGGGGAACAUAUUUAUGACAGAGAAGGUGGUGCAAAGGUUUUUCCAAGUUUUCCUGGGGUGUCCAGGCCCCCUGGUCCUUCUCCCAGACUGUGUAUUCACAAGUAAAUGUUGGCAUUCUGUCAUUCAUUUUUUCCAGAUGUUCUUCCCAUGUAGUGUGUUAUGUUUUGUGUUUUUAAUAUUUCUCAUAUACAUUUUUAAA